rnacentral:tRNA from 6 species
GGGCAUGUAGCUCAGCUUGGUUAGAGCGCUUGAUUCACAUUCAAGAGGUCCCUGGUUCGAGCCCAGGCAUGCCCACCA